AUUCCAUAAUGAGGGUAUUUUCAUAAUAGUUCUUUAAAUCUUUCCCACGCUUCAUACAAGGACUCAUCAUCCAUUUUUUGGAAGGUAGUGAUCUCAUUCUGCAACU
rnacentral:snoRNA from 1 species